GGUUUUACUAAAUCUUUUCCUGUGCAAUUAUUACUAGCAUUGGAGACAAGGAUAAUAGUUUGUUUGAAAGAGAAAAGAACAGACUUUGAAGUAAGCCUAAAAGCGUUUAACUAGAAAUAGUAUUUCGAAAGUUAUUAAGCACAAAAGAUGAAUUGCGUUUAUUUUGAUACACCCUGUAUAAAAGAAGUACUGUAAGUUGUCUUGGUCGUAUUAUCUCAUCAAACGGACAUUGCCCAGAUCGUCCCAGUUAUCAAGCCAUUGACGCACCGAGAAACAUUCACCCAAAGACGGUUGGCGACGUACGUAAGUUACUAGGACUUCUGGGAUAUUACAGACAAUAUAUUCCGAAUUUCUCAAGAAUUGCUAAAUGCAUGUUUGACUAUUAACAGUCUCCACCAAAUGAAAGGAUGGAAACGAAAGGUAGCCCAAGUUCAACCACCAAAGUCCAAUGGGAAUAGCACCAUCAAAAAACAUUAAACUUGCUAUUAAGCUGUCCAGUAAAACC